UACGUAGGGCGCAAGCGUUAUCCGGAAUUAUUGGGCGUAAAGAGCUCGUAGGCGGUUUGUCGCGUCUGCCGUGAAAGUCCGGGGCUCAACUCCGGAUCUGCGGUGGGUACGGGCAGACUGGAGUACUGCAGGGGAGACUGGAAUUCCUGGUGUAGCGGUGGAAUGCGCAGAUAUCAGGAGGAACACCGGUGGCGAAAGCGGCUUUCUGGUCCUUAACUGACGCUGAGGCGCGAAAGCAUGGGGAGCGAACGGG
rnacentral:rRNA from 1 species